GCGAUUUAUUUUCAUUAGAAACUGAUAUUUGAAACAAUAUAUUUUGCUCAUUAAGCUAGAGGAACUUUCUCUUCACUCUGUCGUCGCUUAUAUUGGACAGAAGUUUCCGAUGUGGGCUAUCAGAUGUCCUACUACGGCACCAUCAGUCAUACCUUGCAUCACAUUCUGCGACCCACAGCCACAGACCAACAAAAUGGAAGGGUCUGUUGUUCUUGUAAUGUGACUGAAUUUGGCUUAAGCGGAACAAUGGCUGUUGAUACCUGUGACCUAGAGAAGCCAUGGAUAUACUUUGCCAAAGGUCAAGAGAUCUGGGCCAUGGACCUGGAAGGGUGCCAGUGCUGGCGAGUCAUCCUGGUGCCUGCUGUGUGGGGAAAAGCCCCUGUUAGUUUAACUGUGGAUAAAGACUUUAAAUAUUGGAUCAUCACAGUGACAGACAACACACAGGUUUAUCAAGCAAAGAAGAGGGAUAGGGCCAGCGUUUCCCAGGUGAAGCCCCUGAGGAGUCAGUGCAUCCUGGCAUACAGUCCUGCCACGCAGCCUCUCCCAAGUAAAGCAUUUCUGUUUCUAGCUUCACAUACAGCGGAACCAGCUAUACUUAAUGCCACCAAUAGCAGCUUCACAGUCGCAUUGCCUCCAGCCAAGACACAGCAUACUUGGAAUGGCCUCUCUGGCCCAACCCCAGCACACCUGGUUUAUUAUGCAGAACUGAAUGGAAGCACAAACAACUCUCACCUGAAGUAAAAAAUACUGGAAUCUCAGGAGAGGAUAGCUCUUAUUGAAGGUUUACAAC
rnacentral:lncRNA from 1 species